GUGUUAGUAUUUUAAUUGGUUAGAAGUCUUGACUGUGAAUCAAGAAGGUGAGAGUUCAAAUCUCUCCUAACACCCCA
rnacentral:tRNA from 1 species